GUGGGGAAUAUUGGGCAAUGGGCGCAAGCCUGACCCAGCAACGCCGCGUGAAGGAAGAAGGUCUUCGGAUUGUAAACUUCUGUCAUUGGGGACGAAGGAAGUGACGGUACCCAAUGAGGAAGCCCCGGCUAACUACGUGCCAGCAGCCGCGGUAAUACGUAGGGGGCGAGCGUUGUCCGGAAUUACUGGGCGUAAAGGGUGCGUAGGCGGCGAUGCAAGUCCAUUGUGAAAAGCCCGGGCUUAACCUGGGAGGUGCAGUGGAAACUGCAUGGCUUGAGUGCAGGAGAGGAAAGUGGAAUUCCUAGUGUAGCGGUGAAAUGCGUAGAUAUUAGGAGGAACACCAGUGGCGAAGGCGGCUUUCUGGACUGUAACUGACGCUGAGGCACGAAAGCGUGGGGAGCAAACAGG
rnacentral:rRNA from 1 species